rnacentral:rRNA from 1 species
GACGAACGCUGGCGGCGUGCUUAACACAUGCAAGUCGAACGGAAAGGCCCUGCUUUUGUGGGGUGCUCGAGUGGCGAACGGGUGAGUAACACGUGAGUAACCUGCCCUUGACUUUGGGAUAACUUCAGGAAGCUGGGGCUAAUACCGGAUAGGAGCUCCUGCUGCAUGGUGGGGGUUGGAAAGUUUCGGCGGUUGGGGAUGGACUCGCGGCUUAUCAGCUUGUUGGUGGGGUAGUGGCUUACCAAGGCUUUGACGGGUAGCCGGCCUGAGAGGGUGACCGGCGGCGUCGUGGCGGGGGUACGGCACCGGCUCGUGCGGGCGGCAUGAUGGUGGUGUGUGGGGCGACGGGCGGGAGCCUGAGGCGGGAGGGCGGGUUGAGGGAUGGCGGCCGUCGGGUUGUAGUACGGUUUCGCCGUGGAGGAAGCGGGAGGGAGGGGGGUGGGCAAAGAGGGACCGGAUAACGACGCGCCGGCGGCCGCGGUGAUAAAGGGAGGAGCGCUCGUCUGCUC